CCAGAGUUUGAUCGUGGCUCAGGAUGAACGCUAGCGACAGGCCUAACACAUGCAAGUCGAGGGGUAGCAGUUUGUAGCAAUACAAAGCUGACGACCGGCGCACGGGUGAGUAACGCGUAUGCAACCUACCUACUACAGGGGAAUAGCCCGGCGAAAGUCGGAUUAAUGCCGCAUAAAACAGAGGUCCCGCAUGGGAAUAUUUGUUAAAGAUUUAUUGGUAGUAGAUGGGCAUGCGUUCCAUUAGCUAGUUGGUAAGGUAACGGCUUACCAAGGGCGACGAUGGAUAGGGGAACUGAGAGGUUUAUCCCCCACACUGGAACUGAGACACGGACCAGACUCCUACGGGAGGCAGCAGUGAGGAAUAUUGGUCAAUGGGCGAGAGUCUGAACCAGCCAAGUCGCGUGAAGGAUGACUGCCUCAUGGGUUGUAAACUUCUUUUGUAAGAGAGUAAAAGAGAGUACGAGUACUUUAUUGCAAGUAUCUUACGAAUAAGCAUCGGCUAACUCCGUGCCAGCAGCCGCGGUAAUACGGAGGAUGCGAGCGUUAUCCGGAUUUAUUGGGUUUAAAGGGUGCGCAGGCGGGGGAUUAAGUCAGUGGUGAAAUCUGGAUGCUCAACAUUCAAACUGCCGUUGAAACUGGUUCUCUUGAGUAUAGAUGAAGUAGGCGGAAUUCGUUGUGUAGCGGUGACAUGCAUAGAUAUAACGAGGAACUCCAAUUGCGUAGGCAGCUUAUUAAGCUAUAACUGACGCUCAAGCACGAAAGCGUGGGUAUCAAACAGGAUUAGAUACCCUGGUAGUCCACGCUGUAAACGAUGAUUACUAGUUGUUUGCGAUAUGACCGCAAGUGACUAAGCGAAAGCGAUAAGUAAUCCACCUGGGGAGUACGCCGGCAACGGUGAAACUCAAAGGAAUUGACGG
rnacentral:rRNA from 1 species